UUCAGUAAUCAGAUUACGUUACAUUUGAGCCAACCAAACACUACCCUAGUUUGAACGGGCGGCGAAGGAGGAACCAGUUCUGGCCGGGGUUGCCGAUUGGCCCGCAUGCGAUCGAAUCAAAAAGCCCCACAUGCCGUGGAGUACAAAAACGAAAGUCACUCACCCCGAUCGCAUUAUUGUAGUGACAAAAUUGAAGGCGCUUUCCCUCCUCUUUUGGCGGAAGAUACUGGUUAGAAUCAGAGCCAUUUUACUGUUUAUUUUAAUUCCAAAUAUUAAAUAAAAUAUGACAUAAAAUGUUGCCAUAACAGGAGCAUGGAACUUUGUGUCUAUAGCAAUGCAUGCAAUGGAAACUUACAAGAAAUGAACCAGAAAGUUCAUGAGGAAGUACCCUGAACGGGGUCAGUUCUGGAGAAACUGAAUAUGCUGUUACCCGACAUCCGUGCAAUUGCGUUUCCAGGAAGUAGUUGUUUGCAACGAGCAGUCGCGCAGAUGCGCUCCCCAAAAACUUGAUCGUCCUUCUACUCCUUGGAUGCAGAAUCUCUGGCAAGGGCAUAGCUUCGGAGACCUGCUCUUCCGGUGAAAUCCGUGCACACAGAUCGCCGGAACAGGGACAGUAAAAACGCAGCGCAGCUGUGGAGGAGCUCUGGUGGUGUGUUGUACGCG
rnacentral:lncRNA from 1 species